AGUGAACGCUGGCGGUAGGCCUAACACAUGCAAGUCGAACGGCAGCACAGUAAGAGCUUGCUCUUACGGGUGGCGAGUGGCGGACGGGUGAGGAAUACAUCGGAAUCUACUUUUUCGUGGGGGAUAACGUAGGGAAACUUACGCUAAUACCGCAUACGACCUACGGGUGAAAGCAGGGGAUCUUCGGACCUUGCGCGAUUGAAUGAGCCGAUGUCGGAUUAGCUAGUUGGCGGGGUAAAGGCCCACCAAGGCGACGAUCCGUAGCUGGUCUGAGAGGAUGAUCAGCCACACUGGAACUGAGACACGGUCCAGACUCCACGGGAGGCAGCAGUGGGGAAUCUUGGACACUGGGCGCAAGCCUGCUCCAGCCCUACCGCGUGGGUGAAGAAGGCCUUCGGGUUGUAAAGCCCUUUUGUUGGGAAAGAAAAGCAGCAGGUUAAUACCCCGCUGUUCUGACGGUACCCAACGAAUCAGCACCGGCUCACUUCGUG
rnacentral:rRNA from 1 species